rnacentral:rRNA from 1 species
GGUUCGAUUAUAUCAGGAUUGAACGCUGGCGGGAUGUUUACACAUGCAAGUCGAACGGCAGCACGGACUUCGGUCUGGUGGCGAGUGGCGAACGGGUGAGUAAUGUAUCGGAACGUGCCUAGUAGCGGGGGAUAACUACGCGAAAGCGUAGCUAAUACCGCAUACGCCCUUCGGGGGAAAGCGGGGACCUUCGGGCCCCGCACUAUUAGAGCGGCCGAUAUCGGAUUAGCUAGUUGGUGGGGUAACGGCUCACCAAGGCGACGAUCCGUAGCUGGUUUGAGAGGACGACCAGCCACACUGGGACUGAGACACGGCCCAGACUCCUACGGAGGCAGUGGGUGGCAAUUUUGGACAAUGGGGGAAACCCCUGAUCCAGCCAUCCCGCGUGUGUGAUGAAGGCCUUCGGGUUGUAAAGCACUUUUGGCAGGAAAGAAACGGCACGGGAUAAUACCCCGUGCAACUGACGGUACCUGCAGAAUAAGCAUCGGCUAACCAUGUGCCAGCAGCCGCGGUAAUACGUAGGGUGCAAGCGUUAAUCGGAAUUACUGGGCGUAAAGCGUGCGCAGGCGGUUCGGAAAGAAAGAUGUGAAAUCCCAGAGCUUAACUUUGGAACUGCAUUUUUAACUACCGAGCUAGAGGUGUCAGAGGGAGGUGGAAUUCGCGUGUAGCAGUGAAAUGCGUAGAUAUGCGGAGGAACACCGAUGGCGAAGGCAGCCUCCUGGGAUAACACUUCUGACGCUCAUGCACGAAAGCGUGGGGAGCAAACAGGAUUAGAUAAUUCUGGUAGUCCACGCCCUAAACGAUGUCAACUAGCUGUUGGGGCCUUCGGGCCUUGGUAGCGCAGCUAACGCGUGAAGUUGACCGCCUGGGGAGUACGGUCGCAAGAUUAAAACUCAAAGGAAUUGACGGGGACCCGCACAAGCGGUGGAUGAUGUGGAUUAAUUCGAUGCAACGCGAAAAACCCUUACCUACCCUUGACAUGUCUGGAAUCCCGAAGAGAUUUGGGGAGUGCUCGUACAAGAGAACCGGAACACAGGUGCUGCAUGGCUGUCGUCAGCUCGUGUCGAGAUGUUGGGUUAAGUCCCGCAACGAGCGCAACCCUUGUCAUUAGUUGCUACGAAAGGGCACUCUAUCAGACUGCCGGUGACAACCGGAGGAAGGUGGGGAUGACGUCAAGUCUCAUGGCCCUUAUGGGUAGGGCUUCACACGUCAUACAAUGGUCGGGACAGAGGGUCGCCAACCCGCGAGGGGGAGCCAAUCCCAGAAACCCGAUCGUAGUCCGGAUCGCAGUCUGCAACUCGACUGCGUGAAGCCGGAAUCGCUAGUAAUCGCGGAUCAGCAUGUCGCGGUGAAUACGUUCCCGGGUCUUGUACACACCGCCCGUCACACCAUGGGAGUGGGUUUUACCAGAAGUAGUUAGCCUAACCGUAAGGAGGGCGAUUACCACGGUAGGAUUCAUGACUGGGUGAAGUCGUAACAAGGUAA